rnacentral:rRNA from 1 species
GAUGAACGCUGGCGGCGUGCUUAACACAUGCAAGUCGAACGAAACACCUUAUUUUAUUUUCUUCGCAACUGAAGAUUUGGUGAUUGUGUGGCGGACGGGUGAGUAACGCGUGGGUAACCUGCCCUGUACAGGGGGAUAACAGUCAGAAAUGACUGCUACUACCGCAUAAGACCACUGCACCGCAUGCUGCAGGGGUAAACACUCCGGUGGCACAGAAUGGACUCGCGUCGGUUUUGCUGGACGGUGAGGUAACGGCUAACCAAGGCGACGAUCAGUAGCCGGCUGGAUGAAGGGACCGGCCGCAAUUGGACUGAGACACGGCCCAAACUGCGAGGGAGGGCAGCAGAGUGGAAUAUUGCACGAUGGAGGAAGCCCUGACACAGCGACGCCGCGGAAGAGAAGAAUUAUGUCGGUAUGUGCAGCCCUAUCAGCAGGGGAGAAAAUGACGGUACCUGACGAAGAAGCCCCGGCUAACUACGUG